GAGGGAAGCCCCUGUGUAAAGUAUGCCUCAAUAAAAAAAAGUUACUGGACAGCUUUUAAAGUAAGGUUGAUCCACAGGGUUGGAGAUACAGAUUAUAGCACUGUGGAGUGCUAGCACCUUUGCCCUUCCAGACAGUGCACUGUUCAAAAGUCUAGUUAAAAUGCUCGUUGUGUCUUCUUUCACGUACUGGAGGUAAAUAGGAAAUACUUGGUAAAGCAGUUCUUAUGGUUAAAUGUUAAAUAUGUGGAUGCAAUCUACCUACCUCCCCCUUUAAGAAAAGAAGUCUAUUUAAAUUAAUAUUGUUUCUUGAACAGGAAAAACUACUCUGGCUGACUGUCUUGUAUCUAGCAAUGGAAUAUUCUCCAGCCACCUGGCAGGCUAGUUGAGGUACAUGGACAGCAGAGAAGACGAGCAGGUCCGAGGGAUCACUAUGAAAUCCAGUGCCAUCUCUCUGCAUUACGCGGAAGGCGAUGAGGAGUACCUGAUUAACCUCUCCAGGCCACGUGGGUUUCUCCUCAGAAGUGUCCACAGCUGUUCACAUCUGUGACGGGUGCAUCAUCAUAGUGGACGCUGUGGAAGGCGUCUGCCCGCAGAAUUGAGCACUUUGCCAAAAUCUACAGUCAAAAAACUGGCAUCAGAAAGGAAGUUCUUUUGGAAGCUUUGUGGGGAAAUUAUUAUAUAAAUAUGAAGACUAAGAAGAUUGUGAAGGUAGAUCAGGCAAAAGGAAAGAAAUCUUUAUUUGUACAGUUGAUCCUGGAAAAUAUAUGGAGUUUGUAUGAGGCUGUCUUGAAAAAGUUUUUGUAAAUCUUGAUGCUGCAGUUUUGGGCACUGAUUAGAGUAUUAUUACCCAGAGAAGGCAUUGGCACCCCACUCCAGUACUCUUGCCUGGAAAAAUCCCAUGGACAGAGGAGCCUGGUAGGCUGAGUCCAUGGGGU